GAGUUUGAUCGUGGCUCAGAUUGAACGCUGGCGGCAUGCCUUACACAUGCAAGUCGAACGGCAGCACGGGAGCUUGCUCCUGGUGGCGAGUGGCGAACGGGUGAGUAAUGCAUCGGAACGUAUCCUGGAGUGGGGGAUAACGUAGCGAAAGUUACGCUAAUACCGCAUAUUCUGUGAGCAGGAAAGCGGGGGACCUUCGGGCCUCGCGCUCUUGGGGCGGCCGAUGUCGGAUUAGCUAGUUGGUGAGGUAAAGGCUCACCAAGGCGACGAUCCGUAGCAGGUCUGAGAGGAUGAUCUGCCACACUGGAACUGAGACACGGUCCAGACUCCUACGGGAGGCAGCAGUGGGGAAUUUUGGACAAUGGGGGCAACCCUGAUCCAGCCAUGCCGCGUGAGUGAAGAAGGCC
rnacentral:rRNA from 2 species